GAUGAACGCUGGCGGCGUGCCUAAUACAUGCAAGUCGAGCGAACAGACGAGGAGCUUGCUCCUCUGACGUUAGCGGCGGACGGGUGAGUAACACGUGGAUAACCUACCUAUAAGACUGGGAUAACUUCGGGAAACCGGAGCUAAUACCGGAUAAUAUAUUGAACCGCAUGGUUCAAUAGUGAAAGACGGUUUUGCUGUCACUUUUAGAUGGAUCCGCGCCGCAUUAGCUAGUUGGUAAGGUAACGGCUUACCAAGGCAACGAUGCGUAGCCGACCUGAGCGGGUGAUCGGCCACACUGGAACUGAGACACGGUCCAGACUCCUACGGGAGGCAGCAGUAGGGAAUCUUCCGCAAUGGGCGAAAGCCUGACGGAGCAACGCCGCGUGAGUGAUGAAGGUCUUCGGAUCGUAAAACUCUGUUAUUAGGGAAGAACAGAUGUGUAAGUAACUAUGCACGUCUUGACGGUACCUAAUCAGAAAGCCACGGCUAACUACGUG
rnacentral:rRNA from 1 species